rnacentral:rRNA from 1 species
GUGUCAGCAGCCGCGGUAAUACGUAGGCAGCGAGCGUUGUUCGGAGUUACUGGGCGUAAAGAGUGCGUAGGCUGUGGUCCAAGUCUGGUGUGAAAUCUCCCGGCUCAACCGGGAGGGUGCGCCGGAAACUGGGCUGCUUGAGUGCCGGAGAGGCAGGCGGAAUUCCUGGUGUAGCGGUGAAAUGCGUAGAUAUCAGGAGGAACACCCGUGGUGUAGACGGCCUGCUGGACGGCAACUGACGCUGAGGCACGAAAGCGUGGGGAGCAAACAGGAUUAGAUACCCCUGUAGUCC